UAAGGAAUAUUGGUCAAUGGCCGCAAGUCUGAACCAGCCAUGCCGCGUGAAGGAAGACGGCCCUACGGGUUGUAAACCUCUUUUGUACGGGAAAAAAUCUCCGGUCGUGAAUCGGAGCUGAUGGUACCGUAAGAAUAAGCAUCGGCUAACUCCGUGCCAGCAGCCGCGGUAAUACGGAGGAUGCAAGCGUUAUCCGGAUUCAUUGGGUUUAAAGGGUGCGCAGGCGGAAUGAUAAGUCAGUGGUGAAAUCCUACGGCUCAACUGUAGAACUGCCAUUGAUACUGUCGUUCUUGAGGACACUUGGAGUGGGCGGAAUGUGUCAUGUAGCGGUGAAAUGCUUAGAGAUGACACAGAACACCGAUCGCGAAUGCAGCUCACUAAAUUGUAACUGACGCUCAGGCACGAAAGCGUGGGGAUCAAACA
rnacentral:rRNA from 1 species